AUUGAACGCUAGCGGGGUGCCUUACACAUGCAAGUCGAACGGAGUGGCGAACGGGUGAGUAAUGUAUCGGAACGUGCCCAGUAGCGGGGGAUAACUACGCGAAAGCGUAGCUAAUACCGCAUACUAUUGGAGCGGCCGAGAUCGGAUUUGCUCGUUGGUGGGGUAACGGCUAACCAAGGCGACGAUCCGUAGCUGGUUUGAGAGGACGACCAGCCACACUGGGACUGAGACACGGCCCAGACUCCUACGGGAGGCAGCAGUGGGGAAUUUUGGACAAUGGGGGAAACCCUGACCCAGCAAUCCCGCGUGUGCGAUGAAGGCCUUCGGGUUGUAAAGCACUUUUGGCAGGAAAGCGGUACCUGCAGAAUAAGCACCGGCUAACUACGUGCCAGCCGCCGCAGUAAUAC
rnacentral:rRNA from 1 species